AUGUCAGUUUCAGAUACAAACCUUCAUAAUGGAGAAAAGCCCAUCUCCGAAAUUACCGAUGCGGAACUCGCCGAAAAGCAUGGUCAUAUGAAGUUAGUAUGCUUGCAGACAAGGUUAGGAAAAACCAUGAAACUGUUGUCACCAGACCACAAAAACUACAUCAUAUCAGAAACCAGUCUUGGUGGUCUAACCCAGAUGCAUGAAGUGACUCUACGGCGCAUAAUGUUGGUUAGAUUAGCCAAGAGCAUAGAUAUGGACACGCAAUCCAUUACCAUUGGUAAAACGCCAAUUCCUAUAACAAAAGAGGACGUGCAGUGUAUAUUUGGCAUUCCGAUAGAAGGGGAGGAUAUAGAGCCACAUCUGGAAAUGCAAACCGACACAGAAUUGUUUACCGCCCAUGCAAACAAUGGGCAAAUUUUGAUUUCUGACCUUGAAACGGCGAUCCGAGCUUCCAAAGCCCCAGACGGCGAUUUCCUGAGACGGUUCAUUCUGUACGCAAUUGGUACUGUUCUAGCACCAACAACACAACAUUAUGUGGACUCGAAAUUUCUCAACCUUGUUAUAGAUCUUGAAAACCUUCGGAAAUUUAACUGGGGAUGUUUCACACUUAAUCACUUCUUCAAGUCUGUUCACAAGUUUAGAAAUCGAGAUCACGUAAAUCUACAAGGAAAUCUAAUUCUGCUCCAGUAUUGGUACUGGGAGCAUGUGCAUACUGGCCGAUUGAUGUAUGCUUCUAGACCCCCUCCAUUGAUCGCACGAUGGGACGAAAUGAUGGCUACUUUAAGAAGCGAUGCUUACGAGAAAGGAGGUCUCCAUAACGGGCUGGCUGUCCUAGAAAUUUGUGCUCCUCAACGACCGUCCGAGAAUUCAAAUAAUUUUCCAAGAAAAAUUGAUGAACAUGUGCAUCAACAUGAUUCGUAUCGAGCACCAUUACAAGGACAACAAUUUAGUAGCCAGCAAGAUCAAGUCAAUGUGUGCAAUUCAUCCCUGACAAGAACUCCUAGGGCUAGCCAAUUCACGGCAGGGACUUCGAGUACACCAAGUGCAAGACAUGUGACCGAAAACAACGAGGAACCACAAUUAACUCCGAUGAAGCCUGUCUUUGGUAAUGAUUACAAGUUCACGGAUGAGGACAUAGAGACAGCCGUUUACAUCCGCGGAACAUACGACCCCGUUGAAAUAGUUAGAAUCGGAGACAUUAGCCUCACAGCAGAAAAUCUGAAGCGAAAUUUGGACGACAAAUACAUUUAUGGUGAUGUUAUUAUGGCAUAUGCUUGCAUUAGCCAAAUUGAGAAUGAUACUACCUCAAUCAUAUCCUCUCAAGAAACCGAAAAGUUGUUACAAAUGAAGGGGGUGGUUCCUAUUGGACGUGCAGCCUCAUGGUUAGCUCGUGUAGCAGAAAAAUUUGUAGGGCGCCGAAAGACUCUGAACUCCAUGAAUUAUCAUUGCGACAAGACCAAUGAAGAUUCUCUUGUGGACUCGAUUCAGUGCUGCAUCGACGAAGCUGUCAAGAAUGGGUUGAUAUCACCAGCUAAGAACAUCAAUUUUGCCGAAUGCACCAAAAAACGCUAUGAGAACAUACCACAACAGACCGAUGGGACUUCUUGUGUGGUUUGGACACUGCAGUACAUGUUGUCAUGGAACGGGGAUGAAAUGACCGAUAUUUUUAACUAG
rnacentral:rRNA from 1 species